CGGUUGGGGCCGCACGGGGUAGAGGCCGCCGCCGUUGGGGCUGUGCGGGGUCAGGGCCGCUGGGCGUUGGGGCCGCGCGAGGUAGGGCCGCCCGGGGUAAGGGCCGCGCGGCGUAGGGGCCGCUGGGGAUCGGGGUCGCGCGGGGUAGGGGCCGCUGGGGGUCGGGGCCGCACGGGGUAGGGGUCGUUGGGGGUCGGGGCCGCGGAGGCUAGGGGUGGGCGGUGGUAGCGCAGAGACCAGGUCGCUCUGAUCGUGACGGGAGCUCAGGCGCUGUGUAGAGGCGAGAGUAGAGUAGAAGCCAGUCGCGUCGCCCGGAGAGAGGAAGACAGUAAGGAGGGUCGGGGGUGCAGAGAAGCUCCACGAGGAGAGCGACGGAGCUUGAACUGGAAGGGCGAGGAGGUGGGGACGUGACGGCGAGGGAGGACAACAGAAGUGGGUGUUCGAGCCAGGGGGCUGUUUUUAACGACCUAGGACACGACGAAGAGCCCGCUCCAGUAACACGACGUGUACGCGACCGUUUGUUGUAGCAGAGACCAAAACAAAGGGUUGUGAGCCAUUCUUUCCUUUAAGAAAUCAUGAUCAAACUACUUUCUUUGUCGUCGUCAAGUAAUUAUAUUUUUUAGUGUAUAAACCUCCGUGCGGUAACACAAACGAUGUUACAGAGUCAUGUGACCUGAUGAUCGAAACGAGACAAGUAGCAAAUAAACAUCGAUGGAACACGAACUUUUAACGAUCUCUGCCGGACGAGGGCAACCGAAGGUGACGCGACAACCGGACGAGGUGAGCAGAAGGUGUCGCACUGCCGUCUGUUCGGACCUACGGCAGCAGACUUGGCGGCGUGGCGGGCUGUUGGUGCGAGGAGGUUGGUGGUAGGUAGUCGCGUGCCGUGAGGUUCGUGCAGGAGACCUACGGGGGAGGAGAACGGAUGAGGGACUGGUAGAGGGAGGACGGGGUAGGCAGGUCCAUACCAUGAGUGUGGUCAAGUUCAUCACUACAACGUUGUUCAUGUUGUUGAGGGGAUAGUUCGAAUGACUCGGUUUUUUCUCGUAAACUACCUACUAACGAUCGAGCGAAAAAGAAUUGCUUUUACAAGAAAAAGACUUAAAAGUAAAAGUGUUCACACUACGUACACCAUAAACUAACUACGUAAAACUUGAUGAUCGAGUGAACCAUGUAUACUACGCAAGGAUAUGAUAACAUACUAGGUUAGAAAAAUCCAUACUCGCUUUUUGAUCUUUUAAACAUCUUCGAAAACACAAAGACAUAAAUAAACAUGUUACCAUAUACCUACCCAACAAGAAGGAAAACAGCAUACCACUACGAUUAGUAUGUGGUCGCACCUCCGAUCAAGUACAGAACGACAAUGUAUGAACGUUGUAAUAAAUCAACACAAGUGUUCGUCCUUUCAAACGUAAGCCCUUAAAUCUGUUUUGUAUACAAGACGGUAAUGUGAAAAGUACGGGCUGUCAAAUCCCGUUUAUCCAUUGUAAUAGAGACGAUCUGGCCUGAGAUAUAUAAGUGCUGUGAGAUUUGAUGAUACCAUUCGUAUAAAUUUGACUACAUAAAGAAGAUCUACGACUUGAAAAACGUCAUAUCUCUGAUGUUCGACCGCGACGACUUAAGUAAUCUUCGAGAGAUUAAACAUGUACCCUAGAACCCUUCGUGCACUUGUUAGCCGAGUAAACGAACGGUGGCAGUACCUGUGGCGGCACCGCGACGGGUAACGAGAGCCAUCAGCACGAAGGAGGACACACCGGAAGAAGGAGACCGGUGACGACCGAGCAGUAGGCAGGAAGAAGAGGUAGAUGACUUCAAGUCGGAAAAAUUAACCGUUGCACACAUGUCGUCGCUGCUGCCUACUAGAUAGAGGGUACGGAGGCAGGAGUUAGAGCGACCACCAGUCGGGUCGAGGACGUUGGUUGUGUCCAGCAACGGGGAAAACGGUGUUGCCGUCGUCGUGUUUGUAAUCACACCAGCAGGAGUUGGUCAGGGAGUGCGCCGGAGGCGCGUUCGGGACGAGUACAUACGAAUGUGGUUUUGUCAAGUUGUCCCCACACCCCAAGUCAAGCUGCCACUGCUGGGUCCGUCGACCGGAAGCGUAUUGCUUCACCACGUCAAACUAGAACACACUCAACCUUUAGGGGACUACGACUCACACAGUCAUGUUGGGAUACGAUGUUCCGUACGCAUGUAGGUGAAGUGUACAAUCAGUUAUCUUAACACGUAAAAGAACCAUGGAAACGAUGAGAUCGGUUUUUAUAAAACAACAAGUGAAAAGACACGUUGUCCUCAUCUCGGCAAACUCUACGAUACAAGAUCGCUCCACCGAAUAAUACAAACAGUCUUACAUUAUGAAACCGGCGUUACAUGAACACAUAGAAAAAGACUUGCCUCGUGCUUGUUUCUAAUACAGUAAUACUUGAAACCAACACUACCAUGAUGUUUGAGAUAUUUUUG
rnacentral:rRNA from 1 species